AUGGUCUUGGCCUUGGUGAUGGUCUUGGCCUUGGUGGUGGACUUGGCCAUGGUGAUGGACAAGGGCAAAGUCGUUAUAGAGGAAUGUUUGGAUACCUUGAUGGACCAUUUCCGUAUGGCGGCUUCCCAACCCAACAAACCAACAAUGAAUGAGGAUGGCGAAGAUGAGAUGGCGGGAUGGUGGGAGAAGGCUGCGAAGAAGCUGAGAGAGGAGGAUGCAGCCGCACUAAAGAAGAAGAAGGAAGAGGAUCUUGAAGAGAAGAGGAAGGAAAGAGUGAGAGCGUCAAAUGAGUGUCGCGCCAGGGAGCAAGCAUUGGUGAGGAAAUGUGAGGAGGCACAGAAGAAGCGUCAAAAGGAUUUUAAAGAAAGAACCAUGAAGCUUUGGGCAAUUGCAGCUGAAAAAAGAGAGAGGGAGAAUCAGAUAUUCAUGGAGAGGGUGGUUAAGGAGGCUCACCUCAUAAGGAAAAGGGAGGAGGAAGAGGAAGAAGAGAGGAAGAAGAAGAAGGGAAAGGGGCCUUGCUCUACGCAAUAG
rnacentral:rRNA from 1 species